GACGAACGCUGGCGGCGUGCUUAACACAUGCAAGUCGAGCGGAAAGGCCCUUCGGGGUACUCGAGCGGCGAACGGGUGAGUAACACGUGAGCAAUCUGCCCUUAGCUUCGGGAUAGCUCCGGGAAACCGGAAUUAAUACCGAAUAUGACUGCGGUCGACAUCGACCACGGUGGAAAGUUUUUCGGCUAGGGAUGAGCUCGCGGCCUAUCAGCUUGUUGGUGGGGUAACGGCCUACCAAGGCGACGACGGGUAGCCGGCCUGAGAGGGCGACCGGCCACACUGGGACUGAGACACGGCCCAGACUCCUACGGGAGGCAGCAGUGGGGAAUAUUGGGCAAUGGGCGAAAGCCUGACGCAGCGACGCCGCGUGGGGGAUGAAGGCCUUCGGGUUGUNGAACCCUUUCAGCAGGGA
rnacentral:rRNA from 1 species